rnacentral:rRNA from 1 species
GGUCAAGCUACAAAGGGCGCAUGGUGAAUGCCUUGGCAUCAGGAGCCGAUGAAGGACGUGAUAAGCUGCGAUAAGCUUCGGGUAGGCGCACAUAGCCUGAGAUCCGAAGAUCUCCGAAUGAGGAAACUCACAUGGGAAACCCCAUGUAUCAUUAAGUGAAUACAUAGCUUAAUGAAGGUAACCCAGGGAACUGAAACAUCUAAGUACCUGGAGGAAGAGAAAGAAAAAUCGAUUUUCUUAGUAGCGGCGAGCGAAAGGGAAAGAGCCCAAACCGGAAACUUGUUUCCGGGGUUGAGGACAUAACAUAAAGAGAAGUAAUGGCUAAUUGAAGAGAACUGGAAAGUUCCACCGUAGAAGGUAAUAGUCCUGUAAAUGAAAGCUAGUAUAAUCGAGUUAUGAUCCAGAGUACCACGAGACACGUGAAACCUUGUGGGAAGCAGGGAGGACCACCUCCCAAGGCUAAAUACUACCUGAUGACCGAUAGUGGAGCAGUACCGUGAGGGAAAGGUGAAAAGAACCCCGGGAGGGGAGUGAAAUAGAACCUGAAACCGUGUGCCUACAACCGCUCAGAGCCCCUUAUGAGGGUGAUGAGGUGCUUUUUGUAGAACGAGCCAACGAGUUACGGUAUGUAGCAAGGUUAAGUACUUAAGGUACGGAGCCGAAGGGAAACCGAGUCUGAAUAGGGCGACUAGUUGCAUGCCGUAGACCCGAAACCGGGUGACCUAUCCAUGGCCAGGUUGAAGCGAGGGUAAAACCUCGUGGAGGACCGAACCACGUUGCUGUUGAAAAAGCAUGGGAUGAGCUGUGGAUAGCGGAGAAAUUCCAAUCGAACCCGGAGAUAGCUGGUUCUCUCCGAAAUAGCUUUAGGGCUAGCGUCGAGUAUGAGUAGUGGAGGUAGAGCACUGAAUGGGCUAGGGGGCAUAGCGCUUACCGAACCUUAUCAAACUCCGAAUGCCACAUACUUUGAGCUCGGCAGUCAGACUACGAAUGAUAAGAUCCGUGGUCAAAAGGGAAACAGCCCAGAUCGUCAGCUAAGGUCCCAAAGUGUAAGUUAAGUGGGAAAGGAUGUGAGAUUUCUAAGACAACUAGGAUGUUGGCUUAGAAGCAGCCAUUCAUUAAAAGAGUGCGUAAUAGCUCACUAGUCGAGAGAUCUUGCGCCGAAAAUGUAACGGGGCUAAACUUACCACCGAAGCUACGGGCUUGAACUUAGUUCAAGCGGUAGGAGAGCGUCGUAACCGGGCUGAAGUCGUACCGUAAGGAGCGGUGGACUGGUUACGAGUGAGAAUGUUGGCAUCAGUAGCGAGAUGUGGGUGAGAAUCCCACAGGCCGAAAACCUAAGGUUUCCUCAGGAAGGUUCGUCCGCUGAGGGUUAGUCGGGACCUAAGCCGAGGCCGAAAGGCGUAGGUGAUGGACAACUGGUUGAUAUUCCAGUACCACUACCAUCGUUAUUAUCGAUGGCGUGACGCAGGAGGAUAGUGUGUGCUAGCUAUUGGAUGCUAGUCUAAGCGUUUAGGCAGUGAGAGUAGGCAAAUCCGCUCUCAUAAUGCUGAGGCGUGAUGGGGAAGGUUCCACGGAACCGAAGUACAUGAUUCCACGCUGCCAAGAAAAGCGUCUAGAGAGAGAAGUAGUGCCCGUACCGCAAACCGACACAGGUAGGUGAGGAGAGAAUCCUAAGGCCGGCGGAAGAAUUACAGUUAAGGAACUCGGCAAAUUGACCCCGUAAGUUCGCGAGAAGGGGUGCCUACGAGAGUAGGCCGCAGAGAAUAGGCCCAAGCAACUGUUUAGCAAAAACACAGGUCUCUGCUAAAGCGUAAGCUGAUGUAUAGGGGCUGACGCCUGCCCGGUGCUGGAAGGUUAAGGGGAACACUUAGCGCAAGCGAAGGUGUGAACUUAAGCCCCAGUAAACGGCGGCCGUAACUAUAACGGUCCUAAGGUAGCGAAAUUCCUUGUCAGGUAAGUUCUGACCCGCACGAAUGGCGUAAUGACUUGGGCACUGUCUCAACUGUAAAUCCGGCGAAGUUGUAGUGCGAGUGAAGAUGCUCGCUACCCGCGAUUGGACGGAAAGACCCCGUAGAGCUUUACUGUAGCUUAGCAUUGAGUUUUGGUAUUGUCUGUACAGGAUAGGUGGGAGACUAGGAAACCAGGGCGUCAGCCUUGGUGGAGUCAACCUUGGGAUACCACCCUGACAGUACUGAAAUUCUAACUGGCGGCCAUGAAUCUGGUCACAGGACAUUGUUAGGUGGGCAGUUUGACUGGGGCGGUCGCCUCCUAAAAAGUAACGGAGGCGCCCAAAGGUUCCCUCAGAACGGUCGGAAAUCGUUCGAAGAGUGCAAAGGCAGAAGGGAGCCUGACUGCGACACCCACAAGUGGAGCAGGGACGAAAGUCGGGCUUAGUGAUCCGGUGGUACCUCGUGGGAGGGCCAUCGCUCAACGGAUAAAAGCUACCUCGGGGAUAACAGGCUGAUCUCCCCCAAGAGUCCACAUCGACGGGGAGGUUUGGCACCUCGAUGUCGGCUCGUCGCAUCCUGGGGCUGAAGUAGGUCCCAAGGGUUGGGCUGUUCGCCCAUUAAAGCGGCACGCGAGCUGGGUUCAGAACGUCGUGAGACAGUUCGGUCCCUAUCCGUCGCGGGCGUAGGAAAUUUGAGAGGAGCUGUCCUUAGUACGAGAGGACCGGGAUGGACUGACCUCUGGUGUACCAGUUGUUCCGCCAGGAGCACAGCUGGGUAGCUAAGUCGGGAAUGGAUAAACGCUGAAAGCAUCUAAGCGUGAAGCCAACCUCAAGAUGAGAUUUCCCAUAGCGUAAGCUAGUAAGAUCCCUUGAAGAACACAAGGUUGAUAGGUCGGGGGUGUAAGCAUGGUAACAUGUUCAGCUGACCGAUACUAAUAGAUCGAGGGCUUGACCAA